AAGAGAGACGGGGAGCCUUGUGCCCCCAACUCCCAACCCUGUGUUAACCGAACCUUUGUUGCUUUGGCGGGGCGCGGCCGUAAAAGGCCCCGUCGGCCCCACCUCGGGGCUGGCGAGCCCCCGCCGAAGAAAUUUUAAAAAUUCUUUUUGCAAACCAUGACAUGUCUGAGAUAAAUUGUUAAAUAAGCGAA
rnacentral:misc_RNA from 1 species